GCUGGGUGUGAUAGUAUGCAUCCAUAGUCCCAGCUACUGUGGACGCCAAGGCAGGGAGGAUUGUUUGAGCCCAGGGGUUCUGGGCUGUAGUGCACUGUGCUGACCUGCUGUCAUACCAAAGUUCUGCAUCAAUCUGGUGAGUUCCCAGUACCAGAGGACCACCAGGAGCCUAGUUUGGACAUGGAGCAGGUCAGAACUCCUGUAAUGAUUAGUAGUGGGAUUGCACCUGUAAAUAGUCACUGCACCCCAGCUUGGACAACAUAGAGAGAUCCUGCCUCUU
ensembl:misc_RNA Metazoa_SRP Metazoan signal recognition particle RNA